rfam:Picea glauca, whole genome shotgun sequence.
GUAACGGUGUCUUUAGACACCACCUCUGUCUUCGAAUUUUUUUUUAU